GCUCAGAACGAACGCUAGCGGUGUGGAUUAGGCAUGCAAGUCGUGCGCGAAAGUCUUCGGACGAGUAAAGCGGCGAAAGGGUGAGUAACACGUAACCAACCUACCCCUUAGAUCGGAAUAACCACUGGAAACGGUGGGUAAUGCCGGAUGGUCCUUUUUGGAGGCAUCUCCUUAAAGGUAAACGGCGGCUUCGGCUGCUGCUAGGGGAGGGGGUUGCGGCCUAUCAGCUUGUUGGUGAGGUAAUGGCUCACCAAGGCUAUGACGGGUAGCGGGUCUGAGAGGAUGAUCCGUCACACUGGGACUGAGACACUGCCCAGACUCCUACGGGAGGCUGCAGUCGAGAAUCUUCCACAAUGGGCGAAAGCCUGAUGGAGCGACACAGCGUGUGGGAUGAAGGCUCUAGGGUUGUAAACCACUGUCACACUUUAGGAACCGCGUGUCGUUAAUAGCGGCACGUCUGACCAAGGUGAAAGGAAGCGCCGGCUAACUCCGUGCCAGCAGCCGCGGUAAUACGGAGGGCGCAAACGUUGCUCGGAAUCACUGGGCAUAAAGGGCAUGUAGGCGGCCCGAUCAGUCAGAUGUGAAAUCCUCCGGCUCAACCGGAGAACUGCAUUUGAUACUAUCGAGCUCGAGGAUGGUUGGGGUAAGCGGAACUCCUGGUGGAGCGGUGAAAUGCGUAGAUAUCAGGAGGAACACCAGUGGCGAAAGCGGCUUACUGGACCAUUUCUGACGCUGAGGUGCGAAAGCUAGGGUAGCGAACGGGAUUAGAUACCCCGGUAGUCCUAGCCGUAAACGAUGGGCACUAGGUUGGGGGGACACCUAUGGUCUUCCCAGCUGUAGCAAAUGUGUUAAGUGCCCCGCCUGGGGAGUACGCACGCAAGUGUAAAACUCAAAGGAAUUGACGGGGGCUCACACAAGCGGUGGAGCAUGUGGUUUAAUUCGAAGCAACGCGAAGAACCUUACCCGGUCUUGACAUCUAUGGAUUAGCUCUGUGAAAGCAGAGUGACAGCUCUUCGGAGUCGGAACAUAGACAGGUGUUGCAUGGCUGUCGUCAGCUCGUGUCGUGAGAUGUUGGGUUAAGUCCCGUAACGA
rnacentral:rRNA from 1 species